UACGGAGGGAGCUAGCGUUGUUCGGAAUUAUUGGGCGUAAAGGGCACGCAGGCGGUUCCUUAAGUCUGAUGUGAAAGCCCGUGGCUCAACCACGGAGGGCCAUUGGAAACUGGGGAACUUGAGAACGGAAGAGGAGCGUGGAAUUCCACGUGUAGCGGUGAAAUGCGUAGAUAUGUGGAGGAACACCAGUGGCGAAGGCGACUCUCUGGUCGGUUUCUGACGCUGAGGUGCGAAAGUGUGGGGAGCAAACAGG
rnacentral:misc_RNA from 1 species